AGAAAAAUUCUACUUUCCAUCUGCUUGGCUGCGGAGGACCUUGGGGUGGGCUCAGCGUGGGGGCUGCAGGCAGAAAUGGGUCCAGAAGGCAAGGUCGAGGUUAGAGCCAAGCCUGUGGGCAGGGCUACGGGCAGGGGGCGGGGAGGAAUGUGGGUCCAGGCCCAGAGGAAAAGGUUGAAGUUAUAGCCAGGCCUGUGGGCGAGGCCGCAGCAGGGCGGCCAUAGGGGAAGGAGCCAAUGUGUUAUGCAUGUAGAAAAUAGACAAAAUCUCACUCUGUCACCAAGGCUGGAGUUCAGUGGAGCCAUCUCAGCUCACUGCAACCUCCACCUCCCAGGUUCAAGCGAUUCUCCUGCCUCAUCCUCCCAAGUAGCUGGAAUUACAGGUGCAUGCUGCCACACCCUGCUAAUUUUUGUAUUUUUAGUAGAGGCAGGGUUUUGCCAUGCUGGCCAGGCUGGUCUUGAACUACUUGUCAGGCCUCUGAGCCCAAGUUAAAUCAUCAUAAACCCUGUCACCUGCACGUAUACAUCCAGAUGGCCUGGAGCAACUGAAGAACCACAAAAGAAGUGAAACAGCCAGUUCCUGCCUUAACUGAUGACGUUCCACCAUUGUGAUUUGUUGCUGCCCCACCCCAACUGAUCUCUUGACCUUGUGACAUUCUUCUUCUGGACGAGUCUCAGGAGUUCCCCACCGAGCACCUUGUGACCCCCGGCCCUGCCAGCAAAAGAUAACCACCUUUAACUUUCCACUACCUACCCAAAUCCUAUAAAACUGCCCCACCCCUAUCUCCCUUUGCUGACCCCUUUCUCGGACUCAGCCCACUUGCACCCAAGUGAAUAAACAGCCUUGUUGCUAACACAAA
rnacentral:lncRNA from 1 species